GAAAGACAUUUUCUCAAUUAGUGACCAAGUGGGGGAAGACCCAGCCCAUUGUGGGAGGUGCCAUCCCUGAAAUGGUGGUCCUGGGUUCUAUGAAAAAGCAGACUGAGCAAGCCAUGGGAAGCAAGCCAUAAGCAGGAUUCCUCCAUGGCUUCUGUAUCAGCUCCUGCCUCCAGGUACCAGCCCUGCUGUUCUUAUCCUGACUUCCACCAAUGAUGGAUUUUGAUGUGGAAGGGUUGUGCUAUCCCAGAGGUGAACCAUGGUCUAAGUAACUGCGAGGAGAUACCAUGAACCCCUGAGUACAUGAUGAAGAAGCAAGAAGAGAAAGAAGCCAAUACAAGAAGCAUUAGUGAUCAGGCUACCUCUGGGCACAGUAUUUAGUAAGCUACUGCUACCUGCCUGGUCUGCUGUGUUUCCCAGUGGCCUUAGGUGACCCUUGUGAAAGGGUCAGCCCCCAGGGGGUCAUGUCCCACAAGCCUUUUUGCUAGGAAUCGAUGAGAAGAAAAGAUUGGCAGAGCUCAGUGGAUUUCUCCUCUGAUAUCUGGCUGUUUGCAUCUUUAUUAUCCACUGGAAUCCUCUGCAUCUUGGGCUGCUUUAAAGAUGUCACUGGUAUCUAAAGAAGAGGCCAAGGAAGCUGCUGAACGCCCUGCGGUGCACAGGGCAGCCCCACCACAAGGUUGCUCAACUUAAUGCCAGCUGCUUCAAGGUUGAGAAAUUCAGCUUCGUUCUUCACCCAGAACUCAUCUGAGCUGUGACUCUCCUUACGUCAUAGAUGAUAAUUCCAGAAGCACGUAUAUGUUGAUAUUUCACAUUUAAAAAUGCAAACAUGAACCAGUAAGAGACAUUUCCCAUCUCUGUGUAGCAUCUCUGUACAUCAUCAGUGAGUCAUGGGUUAUAAGAGGCAUGCCUUUGGCUGUUAGGAUCCCUUCUGCUCAAUUCAUUUCCUGUCCACCAUGAGAUAAGUAGCUCCUGUCACAUGCUCUGCCUGCUGUGACACUCUGCUGUACUGUUUACCCAGAAUCAAUGAAGCAGGACUACAGACCGAUUUCUCUGAUGCUGUGAGCCAAAAUAAACCAU
rnacentral:lncRNA from 1 species